UGUCUCCCAGCAACAAGAGGGACAACUCACCUCCCCCAGAAGCCCACACGUUUCAGGUCCUGGCAGAGAAUCAGACAACCAGAUCAGCAGCAGCUUCAAAGCCACCAGCAUCAGACUGCUCAUACUGUGGCAGAAGCUUCACCAGUUCCUGCAGUGGCACUUAACAGCCAGAGUGGGCUCAAAAAGAAAGCUCAGAAGAUCACCCCAGAUAUGAAGGCCUGCAGGAUAUUACAGAUUCAUUUGUUGACCUAAGCAGCAUUUUUAUGUCAUUGUGAAUCUUCACAAGCCAAAUUAAGAGAUUCUGGGACAAAGCAUUUGAUUAAAAAUUACUUGCAUUAUGUUUCCUCUGUUA